rnacentral:rRNA from 3 species
UGAUUCAUGGCUCAGGACGAACGCUGGCGGCGUGCUUAACACAUGCAAGUCGAACGGUGAAGCCCAGCUUGCUGGGUGGAUCAGUGGCGAACGGGUGAGUAACACGUGAGGAACCUGCCCCUGACUUCGGGAUAAGCCUUGGAAACGGGGUCUAAUACCGGAUAUGACAUGCUGCCGCAUGGUGGUGUGUGGAAAGAUUUAUCGGUUGGGGAUGGUCUCGCGGCCUAUCAGCUUGUUGGUGGGGUAAUGGCCUACCAAGGCGACGACGGGUAGCCGGCCUGAGAGGGCGACCGGCCACACUGGGACUGAGACACGGCCCAGACUCCUACGGGAGGCAGCAGUGGGGAAUAUUGCACAAUGGGCGCAAGCCUGAUGCAGCGACGCCGCGUGAGGGAUGAAGGCCUUCGGGUUGUAAACCUCUUUCAGCAGGGAAGAAGCGAAAGUGACGGUACCUGCAGAAGAAGCGCCGGCUAACUACGUGCCAGCAGCCGCGGUAAUACGUAGGGCGCAAGCGUUGUCCGGAAUUAUUGGGCGUAAAGAGCUCGUAGGCGGUUUGUCGCGUCUGGUGUGAAAACCUCAGGCUCAACCUGGGGCGUGCAUCGGGUACGGGCAGACUAGAGUGCGGUAGGGGUGACUGGAAUUCCUGGUGUAGCGGUGGAAUGCGCAGAUAUCAGGAGGAACACCGAUGGCGAAGGCAGGUCACUGGGCCGCAACUGACGCUGAGGAGCGAAAGCAUGGGGAGCGAACAGGAUUAGAUACCCUGGUAGUCCAUGCCGUAAACGUUGGGCACUAGGUGUGGGGCUCAUUCCACGAGUUCCGUGCCGCAGCAAACGCAUUAA